rnacentral:misc_RNA from 1 species
ACUUAGCCCCGAUUGAAGCGAUAUCCUCGAAGCGCAGCGCAGAGAUUUAGCGGAGCGGGAACAAAA